rnacentral:sRNA from 1 species
GCUGGUUCCGUGCCUAAGGAUAAAAGUCGAGCGAAUCUUUGGGAGCUUGCUCCCGAAGGUUAUUGCCGGACGGGUGAGUAACACGUGGGCAACCUGCCUAUAAGACUGGGAUAACUUCGGGAAACCGGAGCUAAUACCGGAUAAUUCUUUUCUACACAUGUAGAAAAGCUAAAAGACGGUUUACGCUGUCACUUAUAGAUGGGCCCGCGGCGCAUUAGCUAGUUGGUGAGGUAACGGCUCACCAAGGCCACGAUGCGUAGCCGACCUGAGAGGGUGAUCGGCCACACUGGGACUGAGACACGGCCCAGACUCCUACGGGAGGCAGCAGUGGG